CAGAGACACAGAUGUGUCACGAGAAAGAGCUUCGCAUGUGGGACAAGGUGACGGCGGUGCGUCCACCCCGUGUGAGCUAGAGGAAGGUGCUGUCAAGAGCUUGUGCUUUCACCCUGGGAAGGCCCUGGCGGCCUCUGAUCUGGAGACAAAUGACCGUGUGCAUGGCCUGCUGACUUUCCCACCUGUCCUCUCUCGGGCACUGCCUUACGCAGUCCUCAGAGCCAUGACCUCUGGGUGACCCCUGGAUGGACCCCUGGACGACCUGCCCCCACCACACAGCCGUGACCCCUGGAUGACCUGCCCCCACCGCACAGCCAUGACCCCUGGGUGAGCCCUGGAUGACCUGCCUCUGCUGCACAGCCAUGACCCCUGUGACCCCUCAAUGGACCCCUGGACGACCUGCCUGUGCCACACAGCCAUGACCCCUGGGUGACCCCUGGACGACCUGCCCCUGCCGCACAGCCGUGACCCCUGGGUGACCCCUGGACGACCUGCCCCCGCCGCACAGCCAUGACCCCUGGGUGAGCCCUGGAUGAC
rnacentral:lncRNA from 1 species